rnacentral:lncRNA from 1 species
UAUAUAGCUAACUUUACAAUCGUAUGAAUCACGGUAUGAUUGAUGGUCAGUACAACAGAACGUAAGAUUAAGUUCCUAAUUAAGUCCCACCAAAGGCAAAGAAUUACAUUUAACAAAUAUAAAACAUUUUCCGUGUUGAUAUACAGUUAUAUCAACACGAGUGGAAUUGGGAAAACGAGAAAUUGUAUGGAAACACGACGCCCAAAGGGCGGAGUGUUUUCAUACAAUUUCGAGUUUUCCCAACUUCCACGAGUGUUGAUAUAACUAUAUAUCAAUACGGAAAAAAUGUUUUUUAUUUUUUUUAUAAUAUAGCAAUGUCAAAAGCCCGAAGGAUAAGAAAAAUUUUCGUGUUUACAAGCGGCGGUAAAUUUCCCGUGUUGACAUUGAGUUAUAUCAACACGGCUCUUAGCCAAUCAGCGUUCAGAAUUUACAAAUGCUUUAUUAUAAUAUUACAAUAUUACAUAUACAUAUACAUAUUACAAAAACACUUUUAAAAAUAUUAAUUAUUAACAAUUUAUGGGAAUUGCAGUUUUAUGAACAGUUUGACUGUAAAGAACGACACAAAGUCACUUUAAUUACUGCCAGUUGGUAACCAUGCUGCGUCUUCUGAAAAGACCGCCUCCAAGUUCUGUAGGGCUGCCUCGUACUCUGGAUGAUAGGGAAUGAGGACUGCAUGGUGCUUAUAUAGUCGUGAUUGCUUUCUUUAUGUCUUCAAAUGCAGUUUGUUGCUCGUUGUCCAUACGAACUUCCAGUUGUCUCUCAUUAAUCUUCGUAUAAAGGUUCCGAACGGCUUGCAAUUUGAUUGAGGAGUUGCUAAUGUAACGUGACAGGUAACAUUUGUAGGAAUGAUCGUUGGUGGCUUGCAUUCUUGGAUUUUGACUGCGAUCGCGGUCGUAUAGCUAGACCUUCAGCGGUAAAGAUGUGCCCGUGGAAAUCCAUUGUGGUUCUCCUUUCCUAGUGUAAGGUUGUGAUCUUCGAUUCGUUGAAUUACGAAGGGUGGCUUUCAGUUUGGCAUUGUGGUCUUGCCAGUCAAGUCCUAGUCCAAUCAUUAUGUCGUCAUGGUUGUUAAGAACUUGAGGAAUGCCAUAUAGAAUUAAUUUCGCCGCUAUUUGUGCAUUCAUCCUGAUUCCUGAGGUCGAGACAUGCACGAAUGUCUUUCGGAUUGUUCUGCUUUGAUUGUACUACGAGUGGUCAACACCAACACUGCAUGAUAGCUUCGUGUUCUUGUACUGGCUCGAUAAUGUCUCGGUUUUAAUUAUAUUUCCUGGUAUUCGUCUUCUAGACAUUUCAUGGUCCUGUUAGCUGAUAUGGUGCUCGUCGUGAUUUGCAUGGCAUCAUCUUUAUUUGGCAUAAGUUUCAUUGGAAUUUUGGUCUGGAUUUCUUCUCCGCCACGCAUCGCUUUUCCGAUUCCUGUAAAUUUGUGUUGAAAAUUGUCCAGUAUCUCAUUGAGUCCAGUUUUUGUGUUGGUGCUUGGAUUGGAAGAGUUCUGUUGUUUCACUUUUUCCUAUUCUUAUUGGGGCUUUUGAAACCGUCUGUCUCAUAAAUCAGUAACAUUUGCCGUCCGAUAAGCGAAGGCUAAUCAAUUUUACCUUUGAUGACACUUAUGUUUAUAUGAAUUGUUCCAGUUGCGUUUCACAUUCCAACGUCCGCUUCUCCGAGUACUGGGUGGGUUUGGGACGAUCUGGGACCGAAUUUCUUGUUCUUUACAACAGGCAUUCAGUGUUGCGUGUGGAUUUGUAACGCGCUGAUACUACUGCUUAGACUGACAUACUCACAACAGA